rnacentral:rRNA from 1 species
CAGCAGCCACGGGAAUACGAAGGGGGCUAGCGUUGUUCGGAUUAACUGGGCGUAAAGGGCGCGUAGGCGGCAUAUACAGUCAGGCGUGAAAUUCCUGGGCUCAACCUGGGAAUGGCAAUGGAUACUGGCGAGCUAGAGUGUGUCAGAGGAUGGUGGAAUUCCCGGUGUAGCGGUGAAAUGCGUAGAGAUCGGGAGGAACAUCAGUGGCGAAGGCGGCCAUCUGGGACAACACUGACGCUGAGGCACGAAAGCGUGGGGAGCAAACAGGAUUAGAUACCCCUGUAGUCCCUGUCUCUUAUAA